GAUGAAGAACGCAGUGAAAUGCGAUAAGUAAUGUGAAUUGCAGAAUUCAGUGAAUCAUCGAAUCUUUGAACGCACCUUGCGCCCUUUGGCCAUUCCGAAGGGCAUGCCUGUUUGAGUAUCAUGAACACCUCAACUCUCAUGGCUCGCCAUGAUGAGCUUGGAUUUGGGGGUCUUGCUGGCCUGUGGUCGGCUCCUCUCAAAUGGAUCAGCUUGCCAGUGUUUGGUGGCAUCACAGGUGUGAUAACUAUCUGCGCUUGUGGUUUUCAAUCAGAUAACCUUCAGUGAUGGAGGUUCGCUGGAGCUCAUAAACGUCUCCCCUAAGCGGGGACAGCCCUUUGAAUGUUUGAUCUCAAAUCAGGUAGGACUACCCGCUGAACUUAAGCAUAUCAAUAAGCGGAGGA
rnacentral:misc_RNA from 1 species